UACGGAGGGUGCAAGCGUUGUUCGGAAUUACUGGGCGUAAAGGGCGUGUAGGCGGUGUGGUAAGUCAGAUGUGAAAGCCCUGGGCUUAACCCAGGAAGUGCAUUUGAAACUGCCAUGCUUGAGUAUGGGAGAGGAGAGUGGAAUUCCCAGUGUAGAGGUGAAAUUCGUAGAUAUUGGGAGGAACACCCGUGGCGAAGGCGACUCUCUGGACCAAUACUGACGCUGAGGCGCGAAAGCGUGGGGAGCAAAC
rnacentral:rRNA from 1 species